UACUUUGAAGGUUUUUUGUAAAUAUCAUUCUGAUUAUGUAAAAAGGUGCACUAGAAUUGAGACGGCGCUGAAAAGUUGAACAUUGAACUCAGCGUUUUUUGCGGACCCCUAAUGUGAUUACCAAUAACAGUGACUAGAAUAAUACAUUUCCAAGGUAUCGCUUUGCCCAACCCCUAGUCUCGCAGUAUCCGAGCGAUAGGAAGGGAAGAGAGGGUUGACGGG